CUGACGGCGAAUAUCUUCGGAACAAGCGACAGAGCACCGCGUACGAGGUGGAACUCUUCUUUGUCAUCGACUUCUCAUUGUAUUCGCUUUGGUACAGCCAAACAACGGGAACAGAGUCGUCCAGAAAAUCACAGACACUGAGUACCAUCAAACAGUUCUACGCAUUUGUAUUAAGCGCGAUGAACAUCCGAUUCGAGAGCGUCACUGGUUCCGGUUACUCCAUCUCGCUGCG